rnacentral:rRNA from 1 species
GACGAACCGUACGAACGUUAUUCGGAAUCACUGGGCUUAAAGGGUGCGUAGGCGGCGCGACAAGUUGGUGUGAAUCCUCGCUCACCGAGGAACUGCGCCAAACUGUCGUGCUCGAGGAGACAGAGGUGAGCGGAACUUAGGUGGAGCGGUGAAUGCGUUGAUAUCCUAAGGAACACCGGUGGCGAAGCGGCUCACUGGUCUCUUCUGACGCUGAGGCACGAAGCUAGGUAGCGAACGG